rfam:Octopus bimaculoides Scaffold16254_contig_30, whole genome shotgun sequence.
GCGUCGGUGGUGUAACGGUUAGCAUGGUUGCCAUCCAAGCAGUCGAUCCGGGUUCGACUCCUGGCCAACGCA